rnacentral:rRNA from 1 species
UAGGGAAUCUUCCGCAAUGGGCGAAAGCCUGACGGAGCAACGCCGCGUGAGUGAUGAAGGUCUUCGGAUCGUAAAACUCUGUUAUUAGGGAAGAACAAAUGUGUAAGUAACUAUGCACGUCUUGACGGUACCUAAUCAGAAAGCCACGGCUAACUACGUGCCAGCAGCCGCGGUAAUACGUAGGUGGCAAGCGUUAUCCGGAAUUAUUGGGCGUAAAGCGCGCGUAGGCGGUUUUUUAAGUCUGAUGUGAAAGCCCACGGCUCAACCGGGGAGGGUCAUUGGAAACUGGAAAACUUGAGUGCAGAAGAGGAAAGUGGAAUUCCAUGUGUAGCGGUGAAAUGCGCAGAGAUAUGGAGGAACACCAGUGGCGAAGGCGACUGUCUGGUCUGUAACUGACGCUGAUGUGCGAAAGCGUGGGGAUCAAACAGG